UCAUCCUAAUAAUGAUUAACUAAUUUCAUUCACUCAACUUUUUCUUUCAUCUACUUUGUUGAUUCUUUGUUACACUUGUUAAUUGGUUUUUCUCAGUCCAUUGAUUGUCAAUCUAUCGAAGCUGAUUAAAAUGGCGACUUUGAUUGAAACAUUUAAUGAUUGGUUAAAAUGGUUAAGUGAAUAUGCUCAUGAUAAUCCUGGUCAAUUUAUAUUCACAAUUAUACUUAUAUUGUCUCCGUUUUUCGCUCUCAGUGCUCAUCUUUCCUACAAAUUGGCUAAACAUAUAGAAAAGGAAGAGAAAAAGAAAGCAAAGAAAAGUAAAAUGAUCGAUAAUAUAAAAGCAAAUAAUAUUCCUGGACGUCGAAUUAAAUAACGACAAUUGUUGCAAAACAACAACAUUUUGGUAUCGACAGAAAGUACAAUUACCAAUCAAUUUCUCGGUCUCUUUUUACCUGUUAAUCAUUACAUUAUAACCACUGUGAUUGAUGCUCUUGAAUUAUCAUUUACAUUCCCAAUGAUGACCAUGCAAAUUCAUUUCACAAAGAUACAAACACAACCAACCAAAUAUUUAGUAUUUCAACCAACACAAAUUCAAUUGAUGAAACAAUGAGAAAAUCAAAAUGGUUAAAUCUCUUAAAUUCUAAUCAAUAAUAUUGAAUCAAUUGAAUUGAACAAAAAUUUGAUGAAACUAUUGAAAUGAUGAGUUAAUAUUUUUCAUUUGCCAUUUUUACUUUUCACUUAAAUUUACUAUUCCAAAUUUCACAACAAUAAAUCAUCAUCAAUAAUUCAACCAAAA